AACGAACGCUGGCGGCAUGCCUAACACAUGCAAGUCGAACGAAGCCUUCGGGCUUAGUGGCGCACGGGUGCGUAACGCGUGGGAAUCUGCCCUUGGGUUCGGAAUAACAGUUAGAAAUGACUGCUAAUACCGGAUGAUGUCUUCGGACCAAAGAUUUAUCGCCCAAGGAUGAGCCCGCGUAGGAUUAGGUAGUUGGUGGGGGAAUGGCCCACCAAGCCGACGAUCCUUAGCUGGUCUGAGAGGAUGAUCAGCCACAAUGGAACUGAGACACGGCCCAGACUCCUACGGGAGGCAGCAGUGGGGAAUAUUGGACAAUGGGCGAAAGCCUGAUCCAGCAAUGCCGCGUGAGUGAUGAAGGCCUUAGGGUUGUAAAGCUCUUUUACCAGGGAUGAUAAUGACAGUACCUGGAGAAUAAGCUCCAGCUAACUCCGUGCCAGCCGCCGCAGUAA
rnacentral:rRNA from 1 species